rnacentral:ncRNA from 1 species
GGCGAGAGUAGAAGCGUUCACCAGUCGCGGAUGUUGCGCCGGCUGGCCGGGAAUUGCUCUUGAA